CCUACGGGUGGCAGCAGUGAGGAAUAUUGGUCAAUGGACGAGAGUCUGAACCAGCCAAGUAGCGUGAAGGAUGACUGCCCUAUGGGUUGUAAACUUCUUUUAUAUGGGAAUAAAAUGUUCCACGUGUGGGAUUUUGUAUGUACCAUAUGAAUAAGGAUCGGCUAACUCCGUGCCAGCAGCCGCGGUAAUACGGAGGAUCCGAGCGUUAUCCGGAUUUAUUGGGUUUAAAGGGAGCGUAGGUGGAUUGUUAAGUCAGUUGUGAAAGUUUGCGGCUCAACCGUAAAAUUGCAGUUGAAACUGGCAGUCUUGAGUACAGUAGAGGUGGGCGGAAUGCGUGGUGUAGCGGUGAAAUGCUUAGAUAUCACGAAGAACUCCGAUUGCGAAGGCAGUUCACUGGACUGCAACUGACACUGAGGCUCGAAAGUGAGGGUAUCAAACAGGAUUAGAUACCCGUGUAGUC
rnacentral:rRNA from 1 species